GGACGGCAGGGCAGAGAUGACUGAUUCAACAAAGGUUCCCCAGGACAGUGGGUUUUAGACCAGGAGUCCAAGGACCAGACUAGGGAUAUCUGAGGCUGGACUGAAUGCUCCUGAUCACACCUGUGCUUGGUACCAGCACAGACCCUGGCACAGAACAGACCCGUAACUGCGGCUUGCUGGAUAAUGAUGAAUCCAUGUGUGCCUCGGGCGACAGGUACCCGAGAAGGUGGCAGUUUUGGUGUAAAGGUAAACAGCAAACAGCGCUUCUAUUCACUGAGGUAUGAGCCAGGAAGAGGGACAAGCUGCUGGAGCCAAAGCCUUGGCCU